rnacentral:misc_RNA from 1 species
AAGUCGUAACAAGGUUUCCGUAGGUGAACCUGCGGAAGGAUCAUUAAAGAGUUAGGGUCCUAGUGGCCCAACCUCCAACCCUCUGUUGUUAAAACUACCUUGUUGCUUUGGCGGGACCGUUCGGUCUCCGAGCGCGUUAACUUUCGGGUUGGCGAGCGCCCGCCGAUGGCCCCCAAUAAAACUCUGUAUAACCAUGUUUGUCUGAGUUCUUAAAUUAAAUUAAAACAAAA